rnacentral:siRNA from 1 species
CAGCAUCAGAGACUUUACCGU